rnacentral:rRNA from 1 species
GACGAACGCUGGCGGCGCGCUUAACACAUGCAAGUCGAGCGAUGAAAUUUCGACAGAACCCUUCGGGGUGAAGAUGAAAUGGAUUAGCGGCGGACGGGUGAGUAACACGUGAGUAACCUGCCUUUGACAUAGGGAUAGCCUCGGGAAACUGGGAUUAAUACCAAAUGAAACUACACUACCGCAUGGUAGAAUAGUCAAAGAAUAUCGGUCAAAGAUGGACUCGCGGCUGAUUAGCUAGUUGGUGAGGUAACGGCCCACCAAGGCGACGAUCAGUAGCCGGCCUGAGAGGGUGAUCGGCCACAUUGGAACUGAGACACGGUCCAAACUCCUACGGGAGGCAGCAGUGGGGAAUAUUGCACAAUGGGGGAAACCCUGAUGCAGCGACGCCGCGUGAGCGAAGAAGGCCUUCGGGUCGUAAAGCUCUUUUAUGAGGGAAGAUAAUGACGGUACCUCAAGAAAAAGCCCCGGCUAACUACGUGCCAGCAGCCGCGGUAAUACGUAGGGGGCUAGCGUUGUCCGGAAUCACUGGGCGUAAAGGGUUCGCAGGCGGAAUAACAGUCAGAUGUGAAAGGCAUGGGGCUCAACCCCAUGUAAGCAUUUGAAACUGUAAUUCUUGAGAAGUGGAGAGGUAAGUGGAAUUCCUAGUGUAGCGGUGAAAUGCGUAGAUAUUAGGAGGAAUACCUGUGGCGAAGGCGACUUACUGGACACAAAUCUGACGCUGAGGAACGAAAGCGUGGGUAGCAAACAGGAUUAGAUACCCUGGUAGUCCACGCCGUAAACGAUGAGUGCUAGGUGUCGGGGGAGACCUCGGUGCCGGCGUUAACACAAUAAGCACUCCGCCUGGGGAGUACGUGCGCAAGCAUGAAACUCAAAGGAAUUGACGGGGACCCGCACAAGCAGCGGAGCAUGUGGUUUAAUUCGACGCAACGCGAAGAACCUUACCAGGGCUUGACAUACUGAGGACGUAUUUAUAGAUAAAUAUUCUUCUUCGGAAGCCUCAAUACAGGUGGUGCAUGGUUGUCGUCAGCUCGUGUCGUGAGAUGUUCAGUUAAGUCUGGCAACGAGCGCAACCCUUACCUUUAGUUACCAGCAUUACGGAUGGGGACUCUAAAGGGACUGCCGAUGAUAAAUCGGAGGAAGGUGGGGAUGACGUCAAAUCAUCAUGCCCUAUAUGCCCUGGGCUACACACGUGCUAAAAUGGUCGGAACAGAGGGAAGCAACAGAGCGAUCUCAAGCAAAUCUCAUAAAUCCGAUCCCAGUUCGGAUUGCACUCUGCAACUCGAGUGCAUGAAGUCGGAGUUGCUAGUAAUCGCAGAUCAGCAUGCUGCGGUGAAUGAGUUCCCGGGUCU